CCUACGGGGGGCAGCAGUGAGGAAUAUUGGUCAAUGGACGAGAGUCUGAACCAGCCAAGCCGCGUGAAGGAUGACUGCCCUAUGGGUUGUAAACUUCUUUUGUACAAGAAUAAAAGCAGACACGUGUACCUGUUUGCAUGUACUUUACGAAUAAGGAUCGGCUAACUCCGUGCCAGCAGCCGCGGUAAUACGGAGGAUCCGAGCGUUAUCCGGAUUUAUUGGGUUUAAAGGGUGCGUAGGUGGGUUGUUAAGUCAGUGGUGAAAGUUUGCGGCUCAACCUUAAAAUUGCAAUUGAUACUGGUCGUCUAGAGUGCAGUUGAGGUAGGCGGAAUGCGUGGUGUAGCGGUGAAAUGCUUAGAGAUCACGCAGAACCCCGAUUGCGAAGGCAGCUUACCAAGCUGUUACUGACAUUGAUGCUCGAAAGUGUGGGGAGCAAACAGGAUUAGAUACCCGAGUAGUC
rnacentral:rRNA from 1 species